UCUCCGUUGGUGAACCAGCGGAGGGAUCAUACAGAGUUUACAACUCCCAAACCCAAAUGUGAACAUACCAAUCGUUGCUUCGGCGGACUCGUCCCGGCGUCCGGGUGGCCUGGUGCUGCCCUCGGCCCGGAUCCAGGCGGCCGCCGGAGACCAUCAGACCCUUUGUAUUAUACGUAUCCUCUGAAUCCGCCGCAAGGCAAAACAAAUGAAUCAAAACUUUCAACAACGGAUCUCAUGGUUCUG
rnacentral:misc_RNA from 1 species